rnacentral:lncRNA from 1 species
GGACAGUGUGAGUGAUUUGCCUUUCUUUUCUUUUAAAUUUUUUUUUGAAGAUUUUAUUUUUCCUUUUUCUCCCCAAAGCCCCCUGAAACAUAGUUGUGCAUUUUUAGUUGUGAGUCCCUCUAGUUGUCGCAUGUGGGAUGCUGCUUCAGCAUGGCUCGAUGAGCGGUGCCAUGUCCGUGCCCAGGAUCCCAACUGGCAAAACCCUGGGACACCGAAGUGGAGUGUGUGAACUUAACCACUCAGCCACAGGGCUGGUCCCUGGAUUUGCCUUUCUAUUUUUAAAAAUAUUAUUUGCGUUUCCAUCAUCUCUGCAUACAUUGCCCAGCUGUUUUUGUAUGCUGUAUACUUCAUCCAUUAGAGCCCUUGGCAUAUUAAUUAUAGUUGUUUUAAAUUCCUAUUCUGAUAAUUCCAACAUCUGCCACAACUGGUUUUGAGGCUUGCUCUGUCUCUUCAAAUUGUGUUUUUUGCCUUUUGGUACCUUGUACUUUUUUCUUGAUAGCGAAACACAACAGACUGAGUAAAAGGAAGUGCUAUAAAUAGGCCUUUAGUAACGUAGUGGUGAGGAUCGAGAGAAAGGGAAGUGUUCUAUAGGAUCAUGAUUAGGUCUCAGUCUUUUAGUGAGCCAAUGCCUCUGGACUGUGAACUUCACAAGUUUCUCAGUAUUUUUCCACCCCCUGAGGUGGGACAGAACGGCUAGAGCUGGCUGGAGUUGGGUUUCCUCCUGAGGUCAGUUAAGCUCUAGUUAACUAGUUUCUCCUGAAGGCAGGUUUUGCUAAGAAUAGAGUGCUCUGGUUUAUUUCAAAAUGGUUCCUCCCCUCUCCCCCUUGCCAGAAGUCUGAGGGGAUUUUUCUCUGAAAUUUACUGUGGUAAUAUGGUCAAGUUCCUGGAGGUGAAUCUCACAAUAUUGUGGGAUCCCCCUUAUGACUAGGUCUCCCUAGAGUUUUUAACUCUCAGACUUGUCCACAGUGAGCCUCCAGACAUUCAUCAAUUAAGUUCUAGGUUUUCCUACCCAAGCACUAGUUCCUGUGGUAGUUUCUGCUCCUGAGUCUCUGCCCCUGUAAGCUGCAACCAUCAGUAUUUGCCUGUUUCUCAAAUUUUGGGGGUAGCGGUUUGCCUUGUGCCCUCCCACCUCUUACAGAUCUAAGGAGAGUUGGUGAUUUUUCAGUCUGUUCAGCUUUUUACUUGUUUCAGCAUGAAGUUGGGACAUCCAAGCUCCUUACAUGUGGAACCCAGAAACUGGAAGCAUUAUCACUUGAUUUUUAACAGGAAUAUAUGGUCCCAUUCUUAAGGACUGAGGACCUAUAUCAUUUUUUUUUCAUAAAUAAAG